AUAUUUACAGGUUAGGUUAAAAUGCGGAAGCGGAUGCGGAACGGAACGGAUGGGGUUAAAAUGCGGAACGGAACGGAUAUGGGGUUAAAUUCCGUUCCGCAUUUUAACCCCAUCCGUUCCGCAUCCGCUUCCGCAUUUUAACUU